UUUGUCAUUUCUUUGAAUGGUUGGUC
rnacentral:piRNA from 1 species